ACAUCCUCAGCCUUUUUUAUUUUGAGACAAGGACUCGCUAAGUUGCUUAGGACCUGGGAUGGAAUAAAAGUUGGAAGAACAAGGAAGCAGGUGCAGAGGCAAGUUCAACUCUUCUCGAAUGGGUUCUUGAUUGCUACUUCGAUCAUCUGAGGAUAUCACACUCUUGCUUCUUCACUCUUCCAUAGCAGACUCUGCCAAUGAUUCUCCAGAAUGGCACCAAACCUCCCCUGGAUGCAGAUGUAAAUUUGGAAGCAACUGCUGGUGACCUUCGCUGUGAUUGCUACACGGGUGCAGACCUCUCCGCUUUGGGAUGAGAAGCUUCUCUCUGUACCGAGACAGAAGCUAACAAGACUGAAGAGGGAAAUGGAAAAGGUGAACUCGAGAUUAGUCAUACUUUGUAGAAGCUUUCAAGAAAGUGAAACCAUCUAUAUCAGGAAAGAUUAUGGACAGUACUCUCUCAGGAUGCUGGAAAUGUCAGGGAGCCAUAGCUCCCAGUCAGGCAAGUUACCACCAGAGCAAACAAGCAGUACUCAACCGUGUCCCAUAUUGCGAAGCCAACAUGUUUGGUAAGUUGGGUACAUUAAGUGUAUUUUCUAUUUACAUUUUCAAUUUAAGGAAUGUUUCUCAGGACACAACCCCAUCAUAAGUGAAAGAACAUCAUCUAAAUCUACAAUUCAAGAAAACAGAACUAAUCAUCACCAUUAGAAGUCAGGUGGAUGGAUGGUUUUGGAAGGGAGCAUGAAAUGGAAUGGCCCUAGAGUACUGGCCACACUCCUGAUCUGAGUGACAGUUCUACCUGGGUGCUUCCUUCAGGAAGGUUCUUGGCGCCAGAAGCUCAUCUGUACUCUUUUCUGCAAGUAUGUUCACUACAUUUAGAAAGGUAAAAAACUGAAGCCAGGUAUGGUGUGUGAUGGGCUGGCAGAUCUGGC